ensembl:lncRNA
CGCCAAGCCCGCGAGCGCCGCUAACCGGCUCGGAGGAUCAAAAAAUCGCGCUGCACCCGGUACGGAGCGCCUACACAGAAACCGGAUUGACUGGGACCAAUACUGGCUCAAGUCGAACAGAAGAGAAAGGAACCUGGGACCCCUGAAAGCUGAGUGCACCCAUGUUUCACUGUGCCUGUUAGAACUGGUACACCAGCCAGGAGCUGCCAUUUCCCCUGUGUUAGAGCCCAAGCUGACCUGGGCAGCCAGGCCAUGGAUCUGAAUUUCCUUUGAUGGCAAGAAAGGACUCUGGAGCCCUGGGAACCAAGCUGAUCAGGGAUCAAAGCAAAGAGGCCCAAGUCUCCAUUUGAGGGGGUAGAUCAAGCCGGCUUUGAACUCACAGAGAUCCACCUUUCUUCAACUCCUGGCUGCUGGGACAAGAAAUGUGUGCCACCAUGCCUACUCCAGUCACAUUAAUAACCACCGAAAUAAAUACAGUAAUACAGUG